UACGUAGGGUGCGAGCGUUAAUCGGAAUUACUGGGCGUAAAGCGUGCGCAGGCGGUUUGUUAAGUCUGAUGUGAAAGCCCCGGGCUCAACCUGGGAACUGCAUUGGAAACUGGCAAGCUCGAGUAUGGCAGAGGGGGGUGGAAUUCCGCGUGUAGCAGUGAAAUGCGUAGAUAUGCGGAGGAACACCGAUGGCGAAGGCAAUCCCCUGGGCCUGCACUGACGCUCAUGCACGAAAGCGUGGGGAGCAAACAGG
rnacentral:rRNA from 1 species